AGAGAAGGAAGAAAAGAAGGAAGAAGCAAAGAAAGAAGACUAGCAAUGUUGUACAUGAAACAAUAACCUUAUUUUACUUUUUUCCCUCUCAUCUAUUUCGCUUUC
rnacentral:ribozyme from 1 species